rnacentral:rRNA from 1 species
UUGCCCCAGUAACGGCGAGUGAAGCGGCAACAGCUCAAAUUUGAAAUCUGGCCCCCAGGGCCCGAGUUGUAAUUUGCAGAGGAUGCUUUUGGCGCGGUGCCUUCCGAGUUCCCUGGAACGGGACGCCAUAGAGGGUGAGAGCCCCGUCUGGUCGGACGCCUAGCCUGUGUAAAGCUCCUUCGACGAGUCGAGUAGUUUGGGAAUGCUGCUCUAAAUGGGAGGUAUAUGUCUUCUAAAGCUAAAUACCGGCCAGAGACCGAUAGCGCACAAGUAGAGUGAUCGAAAGAUGAAAAGCACUUUGAAAAGAGGGUUAAAUAGUACGUGAAAUUGUUGAAAGGGAAGCGCUUGUGACCAGACUUGGGCCCGGUGGAUCAUCCAGCGUUCUCGCUGGUGCACUCCGCCGGGUUCAGGCCAGCAUCAGUUCGCCGCGGGGGAAAAAGGCUUCGGGAACGUGGCUCCUACGGGAGUGUUAUAGCCCGUUGCAUAAUACCCUGGGGCGGACUGAGGUUCGCGCUCCGCAAGGAUGCUGGCGUAAUGGUCAUCAGCGACCCGUCUUGAAACACGGACCAAGGAGUCGUCUUCGUAUGCGAGUGUUCGGGUGUAAAACCCCUACGCGUAAUGAAAGUGAACGCAGGUGAGAGCUUCGGCGCAUCAUCGACCGAUCCUGAUGUUCUCGGAUGGAUUUGAGUAAGAGCAUACGGGGCCGGACCCGAAAGAAGGUGAACUAUGCCUGUAUAGGGUGAAGCCAGAGGAAACUCUGGUGGAGGCUCGCAGCGGUUCUGACGUGCAAAUCGAUCGUCAAAUAUGGGCAUGGGGGCGAAAGACUAAUCG